GCAGGAAUCACAGGUAUAAAAAGCCAUCCAGCAAGUUGCAAAUCUAAGACCAAGAUGAACCUGUAAUAUUGGAAGAAAUUUUGGAGGCAAGAAACCAAAAUCUUUGAAGGGGGUGGAUAGUCAUUGAUGAAAUUGAGUGGAUAUAUCCCCAACAGGCAAGAAUUUGAUCUUGAAUAUGAUAAUGAUGUUGAGCAACUCUUGGCUGAUAUGGAAUCCAAGGAAACUGAAACUGAAGAGGAGCGUGAACUUAAGUUGCGGGUAAUGCGUAUCUAUUCCAAGAGUUAUCGUGUUCCUUCAGAGUCAAGUUUCAACAAAUAAUGGUAGGGUUGAUGAAGGAAAGCGCCCCCGGAUUUUAUUCGAGAGGAAUUUACUCCAACCAAGUGAACUUGAGAAGAUUUUAUCUCCGGAAGAGAAAGAUAUAUGCCGACGUUAUGAUGUCAUUAUUUUUCUUCCUCUCGAAGGAGGAACAUGAAGAAUUACUAAAGGCUGGUCUCAAAACAUAGAUAUCUGAAAAGAAUACAAGAACUCAAGGAAGCUAGGAAGCUAGAGCUGCUGGUUGUUGUUCAUCGGCUGAAGUUGAUAGAUACAUAGAAAGGAAAAGGAAGCGGGAAGUUGAAGGUGAUGUUCCCAGAAAAGAAAGUUCUCAGAUUGGUCUACUGAUCCAGGAGAGCCUGAACAUGCCUGCUUCUUCCGACUCACUUGGAACACAUUCAAAUAGAAAACCUUGUAGCCAGGACUCAUUAAAUGGGACAGUCAAUUUAAAUGUGCUGGAACUCCGUUUGCGCACACAAACUUUACACGACAUAUUGACAAGUACCCAUUAAUUUCAGGAAAAAGUAAAGCCUUACAACCCCAUUGCCCCAACACAAACUGAUACAAGUAUGAUCAUGACACUUUUGAGUAUUUUUGAA